rnacentral:rRNA from 1 species
AUUGAACGCUGGCGGCAGGCCUAACACAUGCAAGUCGAACGGUAACAGGAAGCAGCUUGCUGCUUUGCUGACGAGUGGCGGACGGGUGGGUAAUGUCUGGGAAACUGCCCGAUGGAGGGGGAUAACUACUGGAAACGGUAGCUAAUACCGCAUAACGUCGCAAGACCAAAGAGGGGGACCUUAGGGCCUCUUGCCAUCGGAUGUGCCCAGAUGGGAUUGGCUAGUAGGUGGGGUAACGGCUCACCUAGGCGGCGAUCCCUAGCUGGUCUGAGAGGAUGACCAGCCACACUGGAACUGAGACACGGUCCAGAGUCCUACGGGAGGGAGCAGUGGGGAAUAUUGCACAAUGGGCGCAAGCCUGAUGCAGCCAUGCCGCGUGUAUGAAGAAGGCCUUCGGGUUGUAAAGUACUUUCAGCGGGGAGGAAGGGAGUAAAGUUAAUACCUUGGCUCACUGACGUUACCCGCAGAAGAAGCACCGGCUAACUCCGUG